ACUUCACAGCCACGGUAUUCUACCAGGAGAAGACUGAGCUAGGGCAGUCCUUCUGGAAGAAGUGACCUGCUGGAGGUGGAAUGGCUUUAGCCUACAGAAAGGGGUAAGGGGGAGGAGAAUACUAGAAGGAACUGGAACUCUCCAUCUAAUAGGCAUCUUUGGAUCUCCUGCUGGGUAGCUCCUAGCAACAUGGCCAGGACAGGUGCUUUAGGCUAACAUGUGGCCGAACAGAGGACUGGAGGCAGUGUGGCAAGAAGCAAAGGAAAAGCAGGACAGAGGCCGUUUGGGCACUGUCCAGAGGCUAGCAAGAUAAGAUCUACCGCCCCAUCUCGGAAAGCCUCCAAAGGCAGAUUAAUUGGACAGCCCAACACGAGUCGCAUCGUUAAAACAACAGCCUGGGUUGUAAAGUUAAGUAGCAGAAGCCGUAAUUGCUCUUUCAGCCAGGGACCAGCUGAGCCUGCGGCACCCCUUCCCUUACCCCCAUGUGCCCUUCCCAUGUGACACUCUUUUCCACUUGGGAGCUGAUCCAGUUGCCUUGGACUUCUAGGUGCUGAUGGACUCGGAGGAAUCCCAACAAGAAAGAUGCCUCAUCUCCAUCUCUCUAGAUACCAUGGUUACUGAAUCCUGUGCUCCACUGGCAACACUGUGUCUGACAGUAAAGCAAAGGGAAGAGGGAAGACAGGAACGAUAACAGGAUUUGCUUCGCUGUACAGUUGUGAUGAUGAACUGAUAAAAUGCCUGUAACAGCCUUGACAUGGUGCCUGGGACACAGUAGGCGCUUUAUAAAUGACAUUCGCAUCUGCCACUGGGGCAGUCAGUCGAAGGGGUCAGCUUGCUUUCAAGGAGUCUGAUCAAAGUUCCUUUCAUCGACCUGGUGGCAAUCUGCUGUCUGUCUGGCCCCAGGGCCAUUGAAGCUUCUGCCUUCCCCAAAGCAUGUUACAGGCCUGUUGGAGGUGGAGCCCAGGAAGAAUUCCCUCAGUGUGUCCUCCAUGGCUGCUGCCUCUUCCCAGUGGACAAGCUCCCAGAGUGAAGCCAGUGUCAUCGCAGGCCUCCUCGUGUCACCCCAUGCCUCUUCUUCUCAUGUCCCAGCUGGCCAGAUCCACAAAUGAAAGAAUACAGCGACCCUGUCAUCCCAGAGUGCGUGCUGACAGGCGGGCCCAAGGAUCCUGGCACAGGAGUAACACAAAUAUUAGAAGGUAGAGACAAGAGGACCAAUAGUGUAAGGUUAUCCUUAGCUACACUGCAAGUUCAAAGCCA